GUGUCAGCAGCCGCGGUAACACGUAGGGAGCGAGCGUUGUCCGGAUUUAUUGGGCGUAAAGAGCUCGUAGGCGGUUCGGUAAGUUAGGUGUGAAAGCUCGAGGCUCAACCUCGAGAAGCCACCUAAUACUGCUGUGACUUGAGUCCGGUAGAGGAGUGUGGAAUUCCUGGUGUAGCGGUGAAAUGCGCAGAUAUCAGGAGGAACACCUACAGCGAAGGCAGCACUCUGGGCCGGUACUGACGCUGAGGAGCGAAAGCGUGGGGAGCGAACAGGAUUAGAUACCCUGGUAGUCCACGCCGUAAACGUUGGGCACUAGGUGUGGGGUCGAAUUAACCGAUUCCGUGCCGUAGCUAACGCAUUAAGUGCCCCGCCUGGGGAGUACGGCCGCAAGGCUAAA
rnacentral:rRNA from 1 species